AAAGUCCCCGACCAUUGAAGGACCAGCAAUCCACAAGGUCCCCGAGUCAUGCGUUGCAUACCGCGAGGUAUGGGGCGAAGCGUUGACAGGGGUGUUGACAGGCCAGCCAUUGAGCCACGAAAUGUAUAUUAAAUUACCGGGUGCCGACGUUGUACUGUUAACGGAAGGCAACAUCAUAGGGUGCGAUACUGCGAGUGCCACAUGGACCCGGCGGGGUCUGAGACCC
rfam:Klebsiella pneumoniae IS43, WGS project CBWK01000000 data, contig: rep_c870